AGGGUUUCGUGGAGCCUGCGUGAACGAGGCAGACCAAUCCACUCCCGAAAACGAGAUCCUCGACAAGAGCCAGGCCAAUCCUCUCCCGGAAACCUAGCGCUGUCGGGCCAAUCCUCCGCGUCCCCUCCUCGCUGCGCCGCCUCCUCCUCCCCUCCACUUCUAUCCACCUCUCGACGCCCCAGCGCGUGGUCGCCGUCGCUGCUCGUCUCUUUCUUCCCACGACGCCUCCCCAUCCUCCAUCAGCCAUCGCCGCGGCUGUGGGCGCGCAGCGGCGGAGCGGGAGGCAGCGGCAGGCGUAGGCGGGCGGUGAAGGGAGGCGGACGCGGUCGGGCCACGGCGGCGGCGGGCAUGGCGGCUGCGGAAGGGCGCAGCGGAAGCGAGCAGCGCUAAAGGGUGUGGGACAGGGCGCGGCCGGCGCGUGCGGUGCACGAACAAGGUGUGCACGGGGCGGUCAGGCGGGGCGAGCAGCAGCGCGCGCGGGUGGCGCUCAGAAGCAGCAGCGGGCUCGCGCGGGUGGCACGGGGCGCGGCCUGCAGAGCCGACGGGUGGUAGCGGGCGGGGGCACACGCCCCAACCACCCAACCCCAACUCCGGCGGCCUCCUCUCCCUCCAUCGCCGCUGCUCCCCUCGAUCUGGGGCCUCCCCUCGCGUCUUCCAACCACCAAUCCCUCCGCUCUCGAGCCCCGUGUCCCCCCUCCGCCUCCUCCCCUUCGUGUUUCUCCUCCUCCCGCUAAGGCUCCAUGGCGGCGGGCCGGCUCAAGGCGGGGGAGCGGCGGAUGCGUCGGCGGCAGCACGAGAGGAGCGGUGGUGGCGGCGUCGAGCUGCGAUGAGGUGCCGCUCGGGCACGAGACGACGGAGACGGUGGCGGCUAUUCCGGGGCCCAUCUGGGGAGGGUACGAGGCAGGGAAGGAUGCCGUCGUCGCCUUCGCUGGUCUUCCUUCUGCCCCUUUUGCUCCCUCUGAUUUGCCCUCUUCCUAUCCCUCUUGCUCGCCAGCGGCGACUCCUCCCCUGCCUCCGCACGCCGCCCUCGAGUUGGAGGAAACGAGGACAACAUGCGGUCGAGCUCAGGCCGGCGACAUGUGCGCUAUCCGUCUCUUAUGUUUCCCUUGUGUCUCUUGGCCUGAGUUUUACGGCCAGUAUUGCCUUAGUGAGAUGUGUUGUUGAGUAAAAACUAAAAUUUUGUCCCAGAUGCUACUACUACUGAUUACUCGCAGUAAUUAGAAAUUUGUACUUAUGAUACACAAAUCAGUUACUUUACUACUUUGCCUAUUUCACUAACCAGUCUUCAUAUAAAUAUAUAAUAGAGGAUAAGGCCAUGGAAGUCCGAAUGGGUUCUGCUGGUGGUCACACUGGUAGGAACGGCAUUGCCUGUUAGUUGUUAUGAGAAGUAUGUUGGGAGAUUGCCACCUUCCUGAAAAUCACUGGACAAAGAAGCGAUGUGAUGGAAAACCAGAGUGCCAAAAGAAGGUGGAUUUGGCAGUUGCUGCUCCAUGAGACGAGUUUAUUUGCCUGCUCAAAAUUCAGACCUGGAAAGGAUGAAACCAGAUGGAACGCAAAAGCUACAUGGCAGAGCACAUUUUGGGCACUGGUUCAUUUGGCGCCGUCUUUCAGGCUAAAUGCUUGGAAACUGGGGAGACGGUAGCCAUUAAGAAGGUACUGUCGGGAGCUGCAGCUUAUGCGUUCGAUUAACCAUUCCAAUGUUGUCUUCCUCAAGCACUGCUUCUUCUCAACCACAAGUGGAGUGAGCUGUUUCUGAACCUUGUCAUGGAGUAUGUCCCGGAGACGCUCUACCGCGGGCUUAAGAACUACAGUAAUACCAAACAGGGGAUGUCACUUAUCUACGUCAAGCUUUACACCUAUCAGGGGGCUCGUGUACAUUCAUUACUAUUCGGAAUCUGUCACAGGGAUGUGAAGCCACAAUUUUUUUUGGUGGGCAGGGCCUUUGGAUGGGAAUCAUCUUCGGUAUUUUGGUCCAGGUCUUGUUGUUCGUGGCCAUCACACUGCACACCAUCUGGCAAAAUAAGCAACCAUGUUGACAGCCUGGCAUCUCUUUGUUCCAUUCUAUUGACUUCAUGUGGCAUUAUGUAUGAAGCCCUUUGAGCACAAAUCUUUCUAUGGAAGGACCUUCAUGGGAUUUGGAGUGCUCAAUGGCAUCUCAAUUUGGCUUCUCAAUCAGAGUCUAUGUUUCAACUCUGUUGGUUUCUAUCAGGGCAAGUCGAGUGCAUUGGUUGGAUCUAGAUUCCUGAUAUUGCAUAGGACUUGUCAAAAGGUUAGCAUCUAUUCUAUAAUGUGGGUCACAUAAAAAUCAAAAUUUUAAUUUCUAAAAUAAGAUUGAACCAUGUUUGAACCAUGUAUAUAUUUCCGGAUAACAAUUUACCUCUAAUAUCUAUGUACCUUAUUAUUCUGUCGCCGCUCUUCCGAUUUGCUCGGGUACCUUAUUAUUUCUCCCUAUUAUAGUGUUUUCUCAAAGUUGUAAUCCCAUAUCGUAAUUAAUUCCUUAUAGUAUACUUGCUUUUGCUCCUGUCAUCAUAACGAACCUAUUUAACUCAUGACAUGUGUAAUGGUCAUUUGUACCCAUUUAAUCUCUUCUAGAGCUCUUCAUGAAUCUAUGCUCUAUUUGCUGAAGAGGGUUCAGUGCAGUGUCUUCAAAGGUCGGGAAAAAAAUGUUAUGAUGCAGAGGGGACAACAUCUUGAAGGGAGCAAUGUUUUGAUACUUGCUUUAUAGGAAUUCUCUUUCUUUGCCUAGAACUUGUGAUUUAUGGCUGAUGACUAUUCCAUCUUUGCAGGUGCUUCUCAAUUAUAGAUGGAAAACUUGCCAUGGAGGCACAUAGCUUGCUGAUUUUGUUUCUGGAUUGGCCCUUGAGAGGGAGACCGACGCAUACUUCAGCAUGUUUCAGUCAUCUUUAAAGGAGUUGUGGUUGGUUGCCAUUGUGUUGAAGUAAUUUCUUGCUGAAGCACCGGUCUAAAUUUAUCAUUGGUUUCGCUGGUGCUUCAUGUAAGCGGGAUUACUAAUUGUUCCAUUGGUUUUGCUCUGGUAUUUUAAUCGUAAGAGAUGUCUCCAAAAAGGCAAAAACAACAAUUCACUGUUGAUUUACUUUGCUACGAUUGCUCCCAUUAGAUUGUCCUUAAAUCAUGUGCAAAGCUGAAGUAUUGUUCGCUGACUGUCAGCCUGACAGAUCAGAUGGGAUGAUGAUGCAGAGUGUUAAAAGGCCUAAUGGGUUAUCUCCUUGGUAGAUGAAGCUUGUUGGAUUGAUUUCAGGCCAUUGAAAACAGAUGACACCAUGCCUCCCCCAGUUAAUGAACAUGUGUCGCUUCCAAGUAAUAAUGAAUUUUCUACUAUCUCUGCUCUGCCGAACUUUCUUUUCUUUUGCCAUUUUGGCUGGUAGUCUUUCAUAGAAUUUUGUGAUAUCUACCUGACUCCAGAAGGUCAUGCAACAUUAAGAAUUGCUGGGUUUGAAAAACACAGGAUGGAAUUGUUAAUUCAUUAUCUCUGUCUGAAGCAAGACAUUUUUGGUACACUGUUGAAUAGAGUUGAUGUAUCAGCAUGAGUAACAUUGCGACAUUCUAAGGGUUGGUGCUAAAAGCCAACCUAGAAACCAUUGUUUUCCCAAAAACUAUGUGGUUCAUAUGUUGACAUGAUUGUUUACUAGUAGGACAACCAGGAGGUAGUGCAAUAUCCUUAUUAGUUAUACUCAGGGAUGCAAAAUCUUCACCUGAUGAUUCCACCCCUUUUUACAUGACACUAGCUGCCGCAUGGUAAAAGGUGUCUCGCCGAUGCUCUUUAUGACACCCGCUGACAGAUUAAUGAGUGCACUCAUAGAGAACAUAACAAGGUAUUUUAGGAAGUGCUUGGACUAGGUUCAAAUUUUUGAAAGUUUUAGGCACGCUUUUUUUACAGUGUUGGUUUCAAGUUUUUCUUUCCGACACAGUUAGACUUUCUGAAAUACAGCCUUGAACUACACAUGAAACAAUAGUGUUUAUUUGGUCACCAGCAAGAUGAUGAUGUGAAACGAAUGACUUUGCGUCUUUCAGAGUUUCUACCAUUAAAUAGUUUCCCAUAACAGAAUAUUUGCUAAUAUUGGUAGCUAAAAAUGAGAUACUUAUGCUUGUUGAUGCAUUCCCUUUUUGUAGUAACAUCCAUGUGUCCAGCAUAUGUAGAAUAUUAGAUUUUUUUGGCUGUUUAUUGUAGUUCGUUCUCAAGGUUUGGAAAAUUCUUUAGCUAUAUUCCUUGUCUCAAGCGAGCAUGAGCAAUAUCUUCUUUAUGCCGCAUGCCGCCAAUUUUCUAUUUUAGAUGGUUGUGUAUUUUCUCUUCUAAAAAGGGAUAUGUAUUUUAUUAAUCUGACUAUAAUUUGUGGUAGGUACAUACUGAAGGAUGUUCUGAGGCUAGCACCUGGUUUAGAAGUUUUGCAAUUCACAACAAUACCUCAUAAUUUUGAUUUGAUGUCCAGAAUGUCAAUUGAAGAAUGAGCCUAUGAACUGCAUUGUAUUUUGUAAUAUAUCCUUAUAUAUGGUGCUUGUGGCGUUUUGUUUUUGCAAUUAUAAGUUUACGUUUAUGGGUAUUAUAGAGUCCUUUCUUUUUCCACAAGGGGCAGUAGCUGUGCCAUUCGAUUCGAAGGACAAAGAGUUGAUCACAAAGGGGUAGCACUUAGGAUAUAUACACAAGAGUAUAGAACCAAAUUAUAUGAUGUAAUUCACCACUAUUUCUAUUAACUUCUCAUGUACAAAUGUUCACGAGUUCAUGUAUUAAGUACAUUUUAUUGUGUCA